rnacentral:lncRNA from 1 species
CGUGUGCUUGCGGAUCAAUUCCUUAUUGCGUUCCCAAAUAUCAACAGCCUUGCGAUUACCUAGAAUUGCACCCAAUCCUGCGGAUUGUUGUGGUAGCCUUAGGGUAGUGACAGCCCUAAUGGUCGACGUAUUCCACCUCGUUCAGAUCGGUGUUUGUAGGACCGUAGUCAGAGCUUCCUAGCCCCCUUCUCAUCUCUUUCUGU